rnacentral:rRNA from 1 species
UACGUAGGCAGCAAGCGUUGUUCGGAGUUACUGGGCGUAAAGGGUGUGUAGGCGGUUCACUAAGUUCGGUGUGAAAUCUCCCGGCUUAACUGGGAGGGUGCAUUGAAAACUGGUGGGCUUGAGUAUGGGAGAGGUAAGCGGAAUUCCUGGUGUAGCGGUGAAAUGCGUAGAUAUUGGGAAGAACACCAGCGGCGAAAGCGCGUGACUGGGCCUGAACUGACACUCAUGGACGAAAGCUAGGGGAGCGAAAGGG